AGAUUCCCUUAGUAACUGCGAGUGAAGAGGGAAAAGCUCAAAUUUAAAAUCUGGCAGUGUUUCACUGUCCGAGUUGUAACCUARAGAAGUGUAACCUGUGCUGGACCGUGUAUAAGUCUCCUGGAAUGGAGCAUCAUAGAGGGUGAGAAUCCCGUCUUUGACAUGGACUACCAGUGCAUUGUGGUUGCGCUCUCAACGAGUCGAGUUGUUUGGGAAUGCAGCUCUAAAUGGGUGGUAAAUUCCAUCUAAAGCUAAAUAUUGGCGAGAGACCGAUAGCGAACAAGUACCGUGAGGGAAAGAUGAAAAGAACUUUGGAAAGAGAGUUAAACAGUAUGUGAAAUUGUUGAAAGGGAAACGUUUGAAGUCAGUCGCGUUGGUUGGGGAUCAGCCUGACAUUGUUGGGUGUACUUCCUGGUUGACGGGCCAACAUCAGUUUUGACUGCCAGAAAAAGGCCAAAGGAAUGUGGCACCUUUGGGUGUGUUAUAGCCCUUGGUCGUAUAUGGUGGUUGGGACUGAGGAAAGCAGCGUGCCGAAAGGCCGGGUUUCGACCACGUUCACGCUGAGGAUGUUGGCAUAAUGGCUUUAAGCGACCCGUCUUGAAACACGGACCAAGGAGUCUAACAUGCGUGCGAGUGUUUGGGUGGAAAACCCUUACGCGUAAUGAAAGUGAAAGUUGARAUCCCUGUCGCGGGGAGCAUCGACGCCCGGRAGCAGAACUUUUGGGACGGAUCUGCGGUAAAGCAUGUAUG
rnacentral:rRNA from 1 species